GAUGAACGCUGGCGGCGUGCUUAACACAUGCAAAUCGAACGAAGCCUUUUGGCUUAGUGGUGAACGGGUGAGUAACACGUAUCCAAUCUACCCUUAAGUUUGGGAUAACUAGUCGAAAGAUUAGCUAAUACCGGAUAAUAACAUUCACUUGCAUGAGUGAGUGUGGAAAGUUGCGUUUGCAACGCUUUUGGAUGAGGGUGCGACGUAUCAGAUAGUUGGUGGGGUAACGGCUCACCAAGUCAUCGACGCGUAGCUGUACUGAGAGGUAGAACAGCCACAAUGGGACUGAGACACGGCCCAU
rnacentral:rRNA from 1 species